rnacentral:rRNA from 1 species
GGCUAAAGUUAAGUAGUUUAAGUUGUGUGCAAGUGGUAGGAGAGCGUUCUAUUUGCGUCGAAGGUAUACCGGUAAGGAGUGCUGGAGCGAAUAGAAGUGAGCAUGCAGGCAUGAGUAGCGAUAAUUAAUGUGAGAAUCAUUAACGCCGUAAACCCAAGGUUUCCUACGCGAUGCUCGUCAUCGUAGGGUUAGUCGGGUCCUAAGUCGAGUCCGAAAGGGGUAGACGAUGGCAAAUUGGUUAAUAUUCCAAUACCAACAUUAGUGUGCGAUGGAAGGACGCUUAGGGCUAAGGGGGCUAGCGGAUGGAAGUGCUAGUCUAAGGUUGUAGGAGGUUAUACAGGCAAAUCCGUAUAACAAUACUCCGAGAACUGAAAGGCUUUUUGAAGUCUUCGGAUGGAUAGAAGAACCCCUGAUGCCGUCGAGCCAAGAAAAGUUUCUAAGUUUAGCUAAUGUUGCCCGUACCGUAAACCGACACAGGUGGGUGGGAUGAGUAUUCUAAGGCGCGUGGAAGAACUCUCUUUAAGGAACUCUGCAAAAUAGCACCGUAUCUUCGGUAUAAGGUGUGGUUAGCUUCGUACUAGGAUUUACUCCGAAAGCGAAGAAACUUACAACAAAGAGUCCCUCCCGACUGUUUACCAAAAACACAGCACUCUGCUAACUCGUAAGAGGAUGUAUAGGGUGUGACGCCUGCCCGGUGCUCGAAGGUUAAUUGAUGGGGUUAGCAUUAGCGAAGCUCUUGAUCGAAGCCCGAGUAAACGGCGGCCGUAACUAUAACGGUCCUAAGGUAGCGAAAUUCCUUGUCGGUUAAAUACCGACCUGCAUGAAUGGCGUAACGAGAUGGGAGCUGUCUCAAAGAGGGAUCCAGUGAAAUUGUAGUGGAGGUGAAAAUUCCUCCUACCCGCGGCAAGACGGAAAGACCCCGUGGACCUUUACUACAGCUUGACACUGCUACUUGGAUAAGAAUGUGCAGGAUAGGUGGGAGGCUUUGAGUAUAUGACGCCAGUUGUAUAUGAGCCAUUGUUGAGAUACCACUCUUUCUUAUUUGGGUAGCUAACCAGCUUGAGUUAUCCUCAAGUGGGACAAUGUCUGGUGGGUAGUUUGACUGGGGCGGUCGCCUCCCAAAUAAUAACGGAGGCUUACAAAGGUUGGCUCAGAACGGUUGGAAAUCGUUCGUAGAGUAUAAAGGUAUAAGCCAGCUUAACUGCAAGACAUACAAGUCAAGCAGAGACGAAAGUCGGUCUUAGUGAUCCGGUGGUUCUGUGUGGAAGGGCCAUCGCUCAAAGGAUAAAAGGUACCCCGGGGAUAACAGGCUGAUCUCCCCCAAGAGCUCACAUCGACGGGGAGGUUUGGCACCUCGAUGUCGGCUCAUCGCAUCCUGGGGCUGGAGCAGGUCCCAAGGGUAUGGCUGUUCGCCAUUUAAAGCGGUACGCGAGCUGGGUUCAGAACGUCGUGAGACAGUUCGGUCCCUAUCUGCCGUGGGCGUAAGAAGAUUGAAGAGAUUUGACCCUAGUACGAGAGGACCGGGUUGAACAAACCACUGGUGUAGCUGUUGUUCUGCCAAGAGCAUCGCAGCGUAGCUAAGUUUGGAAAGGAUAAACGCUGAAAGCAUCUAAGCGUGAAGCCAACUCUAAGAUGAAUCUUCUCUAAGCUCUCUAGAAGACUACUAGUUUGAUAGGCUGGGUGUGUAAUGGAUGAAAGUCCUUUAGCUGACCAGUACUAAUAGAGCGUUUGGCUUAUCUUU